rnacentral:rRNA from 1 species
UACAGAGGGUGCAAGCGUUGUUCGGAAUUACUGGGCGUAAAGCGCGCGCAGGCGGGUCUGUAAGUCGGGAGUGAAAUCUCACUGCUCAACGGUGAGGCUGCUUCUGAUACUGCAGAUCUUGAGACCGGUAGAGGUUGGUGGAAUUGCAGGUGUAGCGGUGGAAUGCGUAGAGAUCUGCAAGAACACCAGUUGCGAAGGCGGCCGACUGGACACAUAUUGACGCUGAGGCUCGAAAGCAUGGGGAGCAAACAGG